rnacentral:misc_RNA from 1 species
GGACUACACGGGUAUCUAAUCCCGUUUGCUCCCCUAGCUUUCGUUCCUCAGCGUCAGAAAAGACCCAGUGAGCCGCCUUCGCCUCUGGUGUUCCUGAUGAUAUCAACGCAUUUCACCGCUCCACCAUCAGUUCCGCUCACCCCUAUCUUCCUCAAGCCAUGCGGUUUGAAACGCAAUUCCUCGGUUGAGACGAGGGAUUUCACAUCUCACCUGCACGGCCGCCUACGAACUCUUUAAGCCCAGUGAUUCCGAAUAACGUUCGUACGGUUCGUCUUACCGCGGCUGCUGGCAC